rnacentral:rRNA from 1 species
GGCGUGCUUACACAUGCAGUCGAACGGUAAGGCCCUUUCGGGGGUACACGAGUGGCGAACGGGUGAGUAACACGUGGGUAAUCUGCCCUGCACUUCGGGAUAAGCCUGGGAAACCGGGUCUAAUACCGGAUAUGAGCUCCUGCCGCAUGGUGGGGGUUGGAAAGUUUUUCGGUGCAGGAUGAGUCCGCGGCCUAUCAGCUUGUUGGUGGGGUAAUGGCCUACCAAGGCGACGACGGGUAGCCGGCCUGAGAGGGUGAUCGGCCACACUGGGACUGAGACACGGCCCAGACUCCUACGGGAGGCAGCAGUGGGGAAUAUUGCACAAUGGGCGGAAGCCUGAUGCAGCGACGCCGCGUGGGGGAUGACGGUCUUCGGAUUGUAAACUCCUUUCAGUAGGGACGAAGCGAGAGUGACGGUACCUGCAGAAGAAGCACCGGCCAACUACGUGCCAGCAGCCGCGGUAAU